CAUGAAGUUGCGGCUGGGUUCUUAGGAAACAAGGAGAGAAAAAUAGAACUGCAAGCUGGAAAUUCACAAGAGGUUUCAAAGUAACUGUAUGUGUGUGCUUCUUUACUUCUUCCUGGGCCUGACAUGUCCACUGCACCAGGUCUGAGGCAGCUGAGUUGGGCAAGGAUGCAGGAGCCAUCACUUGGAGUGGUGAAGAUCAUCUUUGACAGGAUGAUAGACCACUAGGCCCCUUCAUGAGGCCCAGUCAAUUUCCACCCUCUUCUACCUUUUACAGUGGAUUCCCCAGAGAUUAUGCUAUUCAUCAGGGGUAACAGGGAAUGACUACUCAGUGAUGGAGUACUAUGGGGAAGUCAAUAUAGUUCCUUGGGGAUAUUUUGGGUGGGGAACUAGAAGUGGGGAGCCUAUGUUUGUUUCCUCACUGAUGUUCCUUUUCUGUCCUAUGUUUUUCAGCACUCUGGAGGCUGUACUUGUUCCUCUGGAGGGGUGCAGGUCCCCAGGCAACCCAGAAUAAAGAGAAUUUUGAAAGGGAGACUCGUGUGUGUUAGACUGUACAAUCUGUAAUUUUUCCUUAAUUUUUAU